rnacentral:rRNA from 1 species
UGGGGAAUUUUGGACAAUGGGGGAAACCCUGAUCCAGCCAUCCCGCGUGUGCGAUGAAGGCCUUCGGGUUGUAAAGCACUUUUGGCAGGAAAGAAACGUCGCGGGUUAAUACCCCGCGAAACUGACGGUACCUGCAGAAUAAGCACCGGCUAACUACGUGCCAGCAGCCGCGGUAAUACGUAGGGUGCAAGCGUUAAUCGGAAUUACUGGGCGUAAAGCGUGCGCAGGCGGUUCGGAAAGAAAGAUGUGAAAUCCCAGAGCUUAACUUUGGAACUGCAUUUUUAACUACCGGGCUAGAGUGUGUCAGAGGGAGGUGGAAUUCCGCGUGUAGCAGUGAAAUGCGUAGAUAUGCGGAGGAACACCGAUGGCGAAGGCAGCCUCCUGGGAUAACACUGACGCUCAUGCACGAAAGCGUGGGGAGCAAACAGGAUUAGAUACCCUGGUAGUCCACGCCCUAAACGAUGUCAACUAGCUGUUGGGGGCCUUCGGGCCUUGGUAGCGCAGCUAACGCGUGAAGUUGACCGCCUGGGGAGUACGGUCGCAAGAUUAAAACUCAAAGG